CUUAUAUCACAGGUCACUGUAUUAUUUACAGUGUGAUGCAUUGUUACAGCUCUGUGUGUUAUUACAGCUUAGAUCACAGGUCACUGUAUUAUUUACAGUGUGAUGCAUUGUUACAGCUCUGUGUGUUAUUACAGCUUAGAUCACAGGUCACUGUAUUAUUUACAGUUUGAUGCAUUAUUACAGCUCUGUGUGUUAUUACAGCUUAGAUCACAGGUCACUGUAUUAUUUACAGUGUGAUGCAUUGUUACAGCUCUGUGUGUUAUUACAGCUUAGAUCACAGGUCACUGUAUUAUUUACAGUGUGAUGCAUUAUUACAGCUCUGUGUGUUAUUACAGCUUAUAUCACAGGUCACUGUAUUAUUUACAGUUUGAUGCAUUAUUACAGCUCUGUGUGUUAUUACAGCUUAUAUCACAGGUCACUGUAUUAU